UGAACGCUGGCGGCGUGCCUCAUACAUGCAAGUCGAGCGACCAGACGAGGAGCUUGCUCCUCUGACGUUAGCGGCGGACGGGUGAGUAACACGUGGAUAACCUACCUAUAAGACUGGGAUAACUUCGGGAAACCGGAGCUAAUACCGGAUAAUAUAUUGAACCGCAUGGUUCAAUAGUGAAAGACGGUUUUGCUGUCACUUAUAGAUGGAUCCGCGCCGCAUUAGCUAGUUGGUAAGGUAACGGCUUACCAAGGCAACGAUGCGUAGCCGACCUGAGAGGGUGAUCGGCCACACUGGAACUGAGACACGGUCCAGACUCCUACGGGAGGCAGCAGUAGGGAAUCUUCCGCAAUGGGCGAAAGCUUGACGGAGCAACGCCGCGUGAGUGAUGAAGGUCUUCGGAUCGUAAAACUCUGUUAUUAGGGAAGAACAAAUGUGUAAGUAACUAUGCACGUCUUGACGGUACCUAAUCAGAAAGCCACGGCUAACUACGUG
rnacentral:rRNA from 1 species